rnacentral:lncRNA from 1 species
GUGGCUCACACCUGUAAUCCCAGCACUUUGGGAGGCCAAGGUGAUGGAUCACGAGGCCAGGAGUUCGAGACCAUCCCGGCUAACACGGUGAAACCACAUCUCUACUAAAAAUACAAAAAUUAGCCAGGAGUGCUGGCAUGUGCCUGUAGUCCCAGCUACUCCAGAGACCCAGUAUUUUGAGUCCUGGCCCACACUCGGUAGGUGCUGGGAGAGUGGCCACUUACAGCCUACAUAGACUCUCAAAGGUUCCAGAUCAAGACCCCUAGGCAGGGAAGAAGGCUGUACUGUUCCCGCUGCUCCCCCACGAAUCCAGAGCUGAGAUAAGGGAUGCCCAGUAGGGAGUCUGGGCUCCAGCCCCGGGGCCCACGUGAGACAGGAGAAUCACUUGAACUGGGGAGGUGGGGGUUGCAUUCAGCCAAGAUCACACCAUUGCAGUCCAGCCUGGGUGACAGAGUGAGACUCCAACUCAAAAGGAAGAAAAAAAGGCACGUGAUAGAACGUGCUGGCACUGCGUGAUCUGCAUGUUAGCUGUUGGCCUCCUUCCUGGCUUGUUGUAUCCCCCUCUUUUUUUAAACCAUCAUUUUCCUUCUGUCCUUUUUUGCCUGCCCCAUUAUUUUAAGCGAGUUUUAUCUUACCUGUAUUAUGUAUUUUUAUGAAUCACCACAAAUCAUUCCAGACGAGGCAGAGAUAUGAAGAAAAAGGAAUAAAAUAUAGAUAUCAGGCUGGGCGCGGUGGCUCACGCGUGUAAUCCCAGGACUUUGGG